GGGGGAUUAGCUCAGCUGGGAGAGCGCUUGCAUGGCAUGCAAGAGGUCAUCGGUUCGAUCCCGUUAUCCUCCACUA
rnacentral:tRNA from 1 species